rnacentral:piRNA from 1 species
UCAGCUAUGAAUUAAAAAUGA